rnacentral:tRNA from 1 species
GUAUUGGUGGUUCAGUGGUAGAAUCCUUGCCUUCUGGGUAGGAGACUCAGGUUUGAUUCCUGGCCAAUGCC